CAGCUGGAGUUGGGCUGAUCAGAAGCCAGGAGCCAGGCUUCUUCCUGGUCUCCCAUGCAGGUGCAGGAGCCCCAGCCACUUGGGCCAUUUUCUACUGCUUUCCCAGGCCAGAAGCAGAGAGCUGGAUUGGAAGAGCAGCAGUCAGGACACCAACCAGCACCCAUGUGGGAUGCCAGCACUGUAGGCAGAGGCUUCACCUACUACCCACAGUGCUGGCCCCCAUCUGACUUUUAUUACUCUGUUUUCCUAAAAUCCAUAUUCCCAGUUGUUACCAUUUCCACUUUCAACAUUUCUUGAAUAUUCUCUCUUCCUUUUACUUGGAAGGUUAUCUCAAUCUGGUUUCUAUUUGAAUGAUUGAUUUCUCACAAAAAUCCAAUCACCUGGGUUCUUUAUUAUCAUAUUUUUCCCACUUAAUAUAACUUCUUGGUUCUUCAGUGUGUUUCUUUUGUAUGUUUUAUUUUAUACUGCUAACAUAUCCCCUUAGGUUUAUUACUACCAAGUGAUUUCCUUUGUCCCACCUGCUAUGCCAUUGCUCAUAGAAUAUGCUAUUUUGCAUGGUACAGUCAGUGAGUACCACAUCCUGUUUCAACAGUCUGACUGCGCAGGCGAGAGGCUGUGAAAUGGGAAUUUUGAACAGGUGCCAAGUUAUGUUUCAAGAUGGAUCUAUGUGGUUUCUCACCACCAGGUUCCCAGGGCCCCUCUCACAACUUUCUCAUAUACACAGGCCUUCUAUAAACGGCUAGUAAAUCUCAGGCUGGGGUGGGGGUGGGGGUGGGGGCAUCUCCAGGCGGCCGUUUUUCUCUCCAACACCAGGUUCUGGUAGAACUCAGACCAACCGCCAUAGCCCCCAACCGUUCCACCCGUCAUCCGGGGGGGCUCAGCUCCCAGCUUCGGGGGCCGUUAAGGCCUUUUGCUGGGACGAGGUGAGGUUUCCUCUAACUGGGACACGGCAGUCACGCCUGGUCAGGGGUCUGCCGCCCAAGGCCCGCAGUGAGGGCCAAGCUUGCGUCCACGACCCUGCCUUGUCCGGCCUUCCAGCUCCUGGGGGCCUCCGCAGCGAUGAUGCAGCGGCCACCAUUCCGAUCCCGGGCCACAGGUGCCCCGUGAAAGGCACGGCGUCCUCGGCGAGCUGGCUGGGCGUGCUGCUCCCGGAGCUCUCUGCCGGAACUUGAUUUGAGCCUUUUCUACAGGUUACAGAGUCGAGAGUACUGUGUGAAACCGGUACUGGUAUUUACAUCAAAUUCUCCUCACCCAUCGCAGUGUGGUAGUCAUGUGCUGUCUGGUAGCAUGGGCUAAUUUCGGGAUAAUAUUUCGAUUGUUUCCGGUACUACAUAUUAGUCCGUUUUUCGUUGUGAUAAUGAAACGGCCUGAGGCAGGCUACUUAAGAAGCAGAGACGUGUAUUUAGCUCGUAGUGUGCAAAGUUCAUAAGGCCUGGUGCUGGCAUUAGCUCAGCUCUGCUGGCGCAUCGCGGCAGAUGGCCCUAGUGAGUGUGUGUGUGUCAGGAAGGGAUUCUAUCUUAUUCAGGGAGUCAGAAAGUGAGCUGGGGGAGGCAUGCUUACGCUUUUGCAACAAUUUGCUCUUAUGAAUUCACUCAAGCAUUCUCCUUCAAAGGCUGUGUCCUCAGUGACCUAAGGUCUGCUCCCACCAAGACUCUCAAAGAUCCAGCUUCUUCUCCAAACUGUCACCCUGGAGGACCAAGCCUCCAGGACAAGAACCUUUUGGGGGACAAAAAACAUCCCAGCCAGGCCAUGAGCAGAGAGCUGAAUUGGAAAUGAAGCAGCCAGGACACUAACCAGUGCCAUACCAUACGGGAUGCCAGCAUCGCAGGCAGUAGUUUUACCCUCUAUGCCAUGACACCAGCCCCCGGGAUAUACCUUUUCUACUCUUUGGAGCAAACACAAAGAAGAACAAUUGCUGGAUUAUGUGGUGCAGGUGCCCAAGCACUUGAGCCAUCCUCCACUGCCCCCCCUCCCCAGGCCACAGCAGAGAGCUGGACUGGAAGAGGAGCAACCAGGACUAGAACCCAGCACCCAUAUGGGAUGCCGGCACCGCAGGCGGCGGAUUAAUCAACAAAAGUGUCAGGCUGAGACUCUUGGAUCCCCCACACUCAAAUAAAGCCCUGGACUCAUCAACAGCAGGAAACUAAGAACAUCAGCUCCUCAACAAACGACAAGCCCAAUAUUCAUGUGAGCCUCUAGAGGACCUCAGAUGCCUCUUUAAAGAGAAAGCAACAGAGUUGCCUGACUAUAGACGGUGCGGCAAAAGGAACCUGUCACAUUCAAGCCCUAUUAACAUGGGCCCUUGGACCUCCACCAAUGGAGUCCCUGACUGCUGAUUCAUUGAUAACCCUGUCCAGCAGGAAGUAGCCAGAUUGAGCGAUGUCCCAAUUCCCAAACAGCACUUCAGGACUUCAGUGCAGAUGGGGGAAUGAAAAGAGUCAGAAUGGGAGUGGUAGGACGGUGGAGGGGACAAAGGGAAUCUCUGGUAAUGUUAGAAGAAUUCUUUAAAGAUUUACUUAUUUGAAAAGCAGAGUUGUGGGGGUGGGGUGUGACAGAGACAGAGACAGAGAGAGAGGUCGAUCUUUCACCUGCUGAUUCACUCACCAAAUGGCUGCAACAGUCAUGGGUAGGCCAGGCUGGAACCAGGAACCUGGAACUCCAUCCAGGUCUCCCUACAGGUUUUACUUUAUCAAAAAAAAAAAAAUCAAACUUAAUCAUCAACCUAAGAAAAAAGCUCUUAGGAUCCCUAUUUUUAAGGAAGAUUCUUGGGAAAACUCCUGUGGAUUAUCUACAGCUGUGACUGGUCCAUUUUUUGCUCAGACUUCCUAAGGAGUCAUAAGUAUUAUAUAAUUCAAAAAAAAAAAAAAACAUACAAGCCACUGGUUGGGCUUGGAUUUUGUUUUUUAAAGAUUUUAUCUAUUUAUCAUAUGAGAGGUGAAUUACAGACAGGGAGACAGAAAGGUCCUCCAUCCACUGUUUACUCCUCAAAUGGCUACAAUGGCCAGAUCUGGGCCAAUCCAAAACCAGGAUCCAGGAGCUUCUUCUGGGCCUCCCACAGAGGUGCAGGGGCCCAAUGACUUGGCUUUCCCAGGCCAUAGCAGAGAGCCAAAUCAGAAGAGUAGAAGCUGGGAAUUGAACCAGUGCCAUAUGGGAUGCCAGUGCCACAGGUGGAAGCUUAGCCUACUAUGCCACAGUGCUGGCCCUGGUCUUGGAUUUUUGUCCACCUUCCCCAGGGAGCUAUUUUUGGUGACCUGUAUGACUUGAACCCAUCUAACUUAGCAUUUGUGCUUGUUGGUGUUGGUGUUUUUUGUUUGUUUCUUGGUCUAUUUCGUUUAUUCUUUUUUCCAUUUAUUUUAGUUUGUUUUUUUUCCACCUACUUUUUGCCCAAAUUUUUUUGCACCUUUUUUUUUAAUUUUUGCUCCCUGCCCCAGUUUUAGUUAGAUAGCAUUAUUAGACUUAUUAACAUUAUUAGAGUAGUUAAUAUGUGGUUUUCCUCUUUUUUGUUUUCAGUUUUAUUUAGAUAGCACUUAAGUCUUGCUGCUUAGUAUUGUUAGUGUAGUUAGUAUAGCUAGUGGUGUACAUUAGCCAUACAUACAGUUAGUCUCAUAGUUAGCCACUAGUUUUAUUAAGUAUCGCAGUGAGGGUGGUUGACUAUUAGUGUUGGCUGAUAGAAUAGUUCAGAUACUCUAGACAGAGGAGACAGGCAGUCACCAUGACAGAAGACUGUGAAGCUUUCCAUCAGGAAGUGAUGCUCUGGCCAGGUACCACUUCCUGCACAUCACUGCUAGGGCAGCUGUAGCCAGGGGAAGCUUGCCUGCCAGGCAGCUGCUAGGAAGCAGAUGGCCGUGAAGCUGAUCCCCGCAAAACUACAGCAAUGCUUUCAGCUUGCCGAAGCUAAAAGAAGUGGCCACCAUGAAGAGCCUACAUCAUGAAAACGCUCUCCAGCUCCCAGAAGUGAGGCGCAUGGGCAAGCACGCAUGGCUGGUGAUGGAGCUCACAGGCAGAGGCGACCUCCAGCACUACGUGACGAUGCAGGCUGGCCUGUGGGAAGGCAAGGCCAAGUUACUGUUCAGUCAGGUCCUGUUGGCCAUGCACUAACUGCCACCCAAACCGUGUGCUACAGAGGGUCCUGAAGCUGGACAGCCUGCUGCUGUUGGACUCUUGCAUAAACAUAAAUUAUCUGACUUUGGCAUCAGCCAUCAGCUGGCUGAGGGACAACUGGUGAGCACGUUUUGCAGGAACCCACAGUAUUGUGCCCCAGAAGUGUUUCUGUGAGAGGACCAUGAUGCCUUCAAGGCUAACAUUUGGAGCCUAGGAGUGAUCUUGUUUGCCACGAUGGGAGCAGCCCUGCCCUUCUAUGGGAGGAACCUAGACCAGCUGCAAGACACUGUCUUGUAUGGUUGCUAUGUGCUGUCAUGUUCUGUUAGCCCAACCCCGAAGGACCCCCUGGAAUGGCUGCUUCCCAUGGGAGAGGCCCAUGAAGGAGCCUGCAAGGAACUCCUGGUGGCUUGGUCCCUGCCAAGAAGAAGCUAAGGAGAACAAGGUUAUCUUUGUGCAGGUCUUGGGUUCUUUCCAGGACCCAAAAUCUAGAGAGUACUUGGUGAGCCUGGCUGUGGGGCCAGCCCCUGGAAUAGCGAGACAGGCUUCACUGCCAGAGCCCCGCUGUCUAAGCUGGUCCCACAGAUACCAAAGCAGAUCCACACCAGGGAAAAGAGCAUGUCCCAGGCCACAGCCUCCCACCAUAGCCUUGCUAUUCUGUGGAGUACACCUGUACACACCAGCGACGGUCUGGAGUGAGCCGUCUUCUCCCACCUCCCAACCCCUGUCACCUCAGGGCCAGCAGGAGCUACAGCCCAAGGCCACUGACGGAGCCCAAAUGCUUGACUCUCUACUACCUGGCCAACUGCAGGAGGAGAGGAGCUGCAAUCCCAGCCCACCCCUCAAGCCAAUCCCCGUGGCCUCACCCUCCUCCCACCAGCACCACGAGUGGUGGGGACCAUAUAGAGCCAGAAGAUGUGCCAGCAGUUGAGCCUGAGGAGGCUGGGACCUCCUCACUGCCCCAGAGGAGAGCCAGGGCUGGCAGGGGGUCAGUAGGUUAACAGGAGGACUGUCAAGCUUCCUCUAGCAGGUGUACUGCAUCCUGCUGAGCCCAGCAACUGGCCCUGGCAUCCACUGCAGAAAAGUGGCUCCUCUCAAGCUGGUUCUCAAGCUGAGUUGCCUGAGGGUUUUAAUUUUCUUGAGCCUUUUGCAAAUGUUUCUCAUGAAUAAAAAUCAUACUUCAUGCAUGAAUGG